UACGUAGGGUGCGAGCGUUAAUCGGAAUUACUGGGCGUAAAGGGCGCGUAGGCGGCGCGGUAAGUCAUUUGUGAAAUCUCUGAGCUUAACUCAGAACGGCCAAGUGAUACUGCAGUGCUAGAGUGUGGAAGGGGCAAUCGGAAUUCUUGGUGUAGCGGUGAAAUGCGUAGAUAUCAAGAGGAACACCUGAGGUGAAGACGGGUUGCUGGGCCAACACUGACGCUGAUGCGCGAAAGCCAGGGGAGCAAACGGG
rnacentral:rRNA from 1 species